rnacentral:rRNA from 1 species
GACGAACGCUGGCGGCGUGCUUAACACAUGCAAGUCGAACGGAAAGGCCCUGCUUUUGUGGGGUGCUCGAGUGGCGAACGGGUGAGUAACACGUGAGUAACCUGCCCUUGACUUUGAGAUAACUUCAGGAAACUGGGGCUAAUACCGGAUAGGAGCUCCUGCUGCAUGGUGGGGGUUGGAAAGUUUCGGCGGUUGGGGAUGGACUCGCGGCUUAUCAGCUUGUUGGUGGGGUAGUGGCUUACCAAGGCUUUGACGGGUAGCCGGCCUGAGAGGGUGACCGGCCACAUUGGGACUGAGAUACGGCCCAGACUCCUACGGGAGGCAGCAGUGGGGAAUAUUGCACAAUGGGCGGAAGCCUGAUGAAGCAACGCCGCGUGCGGGAUGACGGCCUUCGGGUUGUAAACCGCUUUCGCCUGUGACGAAGCGUGAGUGACGGUAAUGGGUAAAGAAGCACCGGCUAACUACGUG